rnacentral:lncRNA from 1 species
GUCCCUCAGGCUGGAGUGCAGCGGCGCCAUCUCAGCUGAAUGCAACCUCUGCCUCCUGGGUUCAAGAGAUUCUCCUGCCUCAGCCUCCCAAGUAGCUGGGAUUACAGGUGCGUGCCACCACGCCUGGCUAAUUUUUUGUAUUUUUAGUAGAGACAGGGUUUCACCGUGUUAGCCAGGAUGACCUUGAUCUUCUGACCUCGUGAUCCUCCCACCUCAGCCUCCCAAAGUGCUGGGAUUACAGGCGUGAGCCACAGCGCCCGGCCUUCAGCGUGCUUUUUUUUUUAAUGGUUUGCUAUAUUUACAUCUGGUUUCUCCUUCUGAAUGGUAAGCUUCUUAAAGAUAGAAUUUGUUUUCUUCUGUAUGUCUUCUGUUGUGUCUUGCAUAGUGCUAUUCACAUAUUAAGAUUUUGAUUGGGACAGAGAUAUACAAGAAUAUCACUGGUGCUUUUGAAGCAGUAAAUUAAUUUAAAAUUUAAAAAAUCAGAAUUCCAAAAUGAUAGAAAAAUGUACCUCCUGGGGCCACAGUAAUUCAAUGAGUCCAGGGCAGUGGGACAUGUCCUCUGCCGGAUUCCCAUGUAGCCAGAUCCGAUAGUGUUAUUUUAAGUACAGAAAGAAGUUGGCUUUUUAAAGUACUUUUUUAAUUAUGGAAAGAAGUUCAGCUUUGAAUGCCUGGGCUGUGUUUGGUUGUUUAAUAUAUAGAAUAACUCCCUAGGAAAAAAAUCCUAGGGAGGUAAGUAUGAAACAGUGGGAAGAUUGUAAUUAUGCAGAACUUUGAAGGAACUGCAACAUUUGGGUUAACUUAAUGUUGUGGUUAAUUGUAGGUUAGUCAGAAAAUCAUUAUUUCAACACUUUUAAAAUAAUCCUU